rnacentral:rRNA from 1 species
CAAGUCGAACGAGACUUCGGUCUAGUGGCGGACGGGUGAGUAACGCGUAGGAACCUGCCAAGCAGUGGGGAAUAACAGCUGGAAACGGCUGCUAAUACCGCAUACGCCCUUCGGGGGAAAGAUUUAUCGCUGUUUGAGGGUCCUGCGUUCGAUUAGCUAGUUGGUGAGGUAACGGCCCACCAAGGCGACGAUCGAUAGCUGGUCUGAGAGGAUGAUCAGCCACACUGGAACUGAGACACGGUCCAGACUCC